rnacentral:lncRNA from 1 species
CUUCAGAGCCUUCCCAGGCCUGGGAGGGGCGGAGGCAAGAUAGCAGCUUCUGGCCCAUCCAUCACGCCGGCAAAGGCCUGGCUUUCAGCGCUGUCCAUGGGUGAAAUUGCGUUACAUCCUGCCCGAGGCUGGAAGUCCAAGUUCAAGGCGCUGGCAGAACGGAUGCUUCUGGCGGCGGUGAGGGAGUCUGUUCCGUGCCCCUCUCCUGGUUUCUGGUGGUGGUCGGCAGCUCUUGGCAUUCCUCAGCUUGCAGAUACAUCAUUCCAGUCUCUGCCUCCAUCUUCAUGUGGCUUCUCCCUGUGUGUCUGUGUCUGUCCAAAUUUUCCUCCUCUUAUCAGAACACCAAUCACUGGAUCAGAGCCCCCAUCCAUUAUGGCUUCCUUUUAACUUGAUUGCAUCUGCAAAGACGUUACUUCCAAA